rnacentral:rRNA from 1 species
GACGAACGCUGGCGGCGUGCUUAACACAUGCAAGUCGAACGAAGUGGCGAACGGGUGAGUAACGCGUAAUCAACCUGCCCUUCAGAGGGGGAGAAAAGGUGGAAACGACUGCGAAUACAGCAUACUGAAGGAGGGGAUUGCGAGGGAUUAGCUAGUUGGAGGGGUAACGGCCCCCCAAGGGGAUGAUUAGUAGCCGGUUUGAGAGGAUGAUCGGCCCCAUUGGGACUGAGUACCGGGCCAGACUCCUACGGGAGGCAGCAGUGGGGGAUCUUCCGCAAUGGACGAAAGUCUGACGGAGCACCGCCGCGUGAGUGAUGACGGCCUUCGGGUUGUAAAGCUCUGUUAAGUGGGACGCGGUACCGUCAUAGAAAGCAACGGCUAACUACGUGCCAGCAGCCGCGGUAAUUC